rnacentral:rRNA from 1 species
UACGUAGGGGGCGAGCGUUGUCCGGAUUUAUUGGGCGUAAAGCGCGCGUAGGCGGCUUUGCAAGUCGGGUGUGAAAUCCCCAGGCUUAACCUGGGAACUGCAUUCGAGACUGCAUUGCUAGAGUAUGGGAGAGGGAAGUGGAAUUUCAGGUGUAGCGGUGAAAUGCGUAGAUAUCUGAAGGAACAUCAGUGGCGAAAGCGACUUCCUGGACCAAUACUGACGCUCAUGUGCGAAAGCGUGGGGAGCAAACAGG